rnacentral:rRNA from 1 species
CCGGCGACCGGCGCACGGGUGAGUAACACGUAUGCAACCUGCCCUCCGCAGGGGGAUAACCCGGAGAAAUCCGGACUAAUACCGCGUGGUACAUCUGUGGGGCAUCCCACGGGUGUUAAAAGGAAGCGAUUCCGGCGGAGGAUGGGCAUGCGGCGCAUUAGCUAGUUGGCGGGGUAACGGCCCACCAAGGCGACGAUGCGUAGGGGUUCUGAGAGGAAGGUCCCCCACACUGGUACCGAGACACGGACCAGACUCCUACGGGAGGCAGCAG